rnacentral:lncRNA from 1 species
UGUAUGGGCUUAUUUCUGAACUAUAUAUUCUGUUUCAUUGAUGUAUCUGUUUAUACCAAUACCAUGCUGUUUCGAUUAUGUACUUUAUAAUAAUUUUUGAGCUCAGAUAGUGCUACCUCUCCAAUUUUCUUCAUUUCUGAGUUGUUUUUAUUAUUCUAGGUCUUUGCAUUUUCAUACGAUUCCAUGUCUACAAAAACUGCUGGGAUUUUGAUUGGAAGUGCAUUGAAUCUAUAUAUUUGAAGAUAAUUGACAUCCUAACAAUAUUGAGUCCUCUAACAUAUGAACAAGUAUAUUUCUCUAUUUGUUUAGGUCUUCUUUAAUUUAUGUCAGCAAUAUUUUGUUUUCAAUGUAUGAAUUCUUCACAUCUUUUGUCACAUUUAUCCCUAAGUAUUUCAUAGUUUUUGAUGUUGUGGUAAAUGGUAUUUUUACUAUUUUCAAUUUCCAGUUGUUCAUUACAAGCAUAUAAAAAUGCAAUUGUUGGGACUCCCCUGGCUGUCAAGUGGUUAAGACUUUGCAUUGCAGUGCAGGGGGGUGCAGGUUCGAUCCCUGGUUACAGAGCUAAGAUCCCACAUGCCUCAUGGCCAAAAAACCAAAACAUAAAACAGAAGCAAUACUGUAACAAAUUCAAUAAAGACUUUUAAAAAAUGGUCCACGUCAAAAAAAUCAUGCAAAAAUAAUAAUAAUGCAGUUUUAAAAUAAUGCAUUAGGACUCCAUGCUUCCACUGCAGGGGGCCGGGUUCGAUUCCCUAGUUGGGGAACUAAGAUGCCACAUGCCACAUGGAAAAAAAAAAAACAACACUGAAAGGAUAAAUCUUUCCUUAUAUAUGGAGCAAAAAAUGCAAGUUGCAGAUGAAAUCUUAUGCAUUUAUAUGAAUGCAAAACGUGCUUUGUAUUGCUUUCGAAUACAGGCAUGUAAAGUUUCAGGAAAUGUAUGGAGUGAUCCACAUCUCAUUCAGGAUAGUGGCUGCCUCUGGAGGAAGGGGGGUUUCUAUUGGCGAGGGAAACACAGGUGUUUCAGCCUGUAGGUUGAUUUUUUUUUUUUUUCAGCGUAGGAGUGUGUUCACAGGGUUUCAUUGAAUCUCUGACGAGUUUACUGUAUUUUACAUGUUUUUCUUAAAAGAAAAACAAGCAGACGUCUAACGUUAAAUUCCAGAGAUGUGAGAAUUUGGAUGCUGAAUGGUGAACUGGUGGCAAAGAAAAGCUGUGGAAAGGGGAGCUUCUGCAUGGUCACCAGCAGUAGAGAAGCAUCUUGACGUCCUUCUGCGGGGACUCAGAAUCCCAUAGUGUUGACCUUAGUGACUCUUGGACUCUUAGCUGGAGAAGAUGAGUUAAUCCUAGGAUUUGAGAGCAUAAGGUAACUUCAAGUCUACCUGACUUGUGCUAGUUAUGAUACUAUUGGCGACCCUACAACCCAGUUCAUAAAAUACCCUACUUGUUCCAAGUAAUGUAUCCUGGACUCCUCCUCCCUUUACCUU